UUGAGGUUUUACUUGGCCAAUGCCAGUCCCAAGCCUGGAUAAAGGAGGAGGGUUUAAGUAUUUAUUUAUGUAGAGAUCAGGCCAUCCUUCUGCUGACCUUCUCAACAAUGGACCACAUAUUCUUAGUAUUGCAAGGUGAAACAGGUGGCCUGGCCUGACCUGGUGUGUGGUUAUAGGUGUCAAUACUGGCAUCCAACCAUUAAGUUUGUCCAUCUGGUAAGCAAGGACAGUUUUGAGUCUUUUGACUACGGUUAAAGUUGAAAUGCAGGUAAGCAUGGAAGAAUCCCUCUCAUGCCGGGCAUAGAUGCACAUGAGAGAAAAGAAUCUUAAAACAGGACAGUUGUGAGUAUGGUUUAUUAAAGUUGGAGAAAAUGACGGACUUGGCCUUGGUGUGGCCGACCACACUAGAGUACAGAUGUUUUCUUCAAUGCUUAACAUAGCUGCAGUCGUAUCAAUUCAAAAUGAAUUUAAUGAGAGCAGCAACUACCGUGAGGCUCACUCAUGGGCGAAUAUGGAAUUGAGUGGGGGGAUUAACCAGCUUUCUGUCGGAUGUGAUCGAUUAUCUUAUAGCUACUACUGAAAAUUUCAAGUUCUUAUUCCAACUGCUUAUUUGAUCGGAUAACUCAUGUUAUUUGCAAUGUUUGUACAUUAUGAAUUAUAAAAAAUGAUGACGAACCACUUACUCAUUUUGCAUUA